UUACGGCCAUAUCAUGUUGAAACAACGGUUCUCAAACGAUGAACGAAGUUAAGCAACGUCCAGCCUGGUUAUUACCUAGAUGGGUGACCGCUUGGGAAUACCAGGUGCUGUAUG